rnacentral:rRNA from 1 species
GUGUCAGCCGCCGCGGUAAUACGGAGGAUGCGAGCGUUAUUCGGAUUUAUUGGGUUUAAAGGGUGCGUAGGCGGGUCAUUAAGUCAGUGGUGAAAUCCUGCAGCUUAACUGUAGAAUUGCCAUUGAUACUGAUGAUCUUGAGUAUGGUCAAGGCAGGCGGAAUGUGUAAUGUAGCGGUGAAAUGCUUAGAUAUUACACAGAACACCGAUAGCGAAGGCAGCUUGCUGGGCCGUUACUGACGCUGAUGCACGAAAGCGUGGGGAUCGAACAGGAUUAGAAACCCUAGUAGUCC